ACCGAGCCCCUUUGUGGUCUGGUUAUAUACCUCUGAACCCUGAUCAGAGUGCUGAUCCUCAAAGCCAACCAAUGUGCGUUCCUACUACCCGAUCAGGAUAUCGAGCUCUGCUUUGACGUCCAAGUUGACAAUGAGGACGUGUAUCUAAUCAACAAGGUCCGUUACUACAUCAAUCGGGCCUUCACGGGGAUCAGGCCAAAUAUGGGAGCCAGAACGACGGGACCGAGGGUUUGUUAGGAUGCAGAUUCCUCAAGAACUAAUCAAGAUCCAAGACGCCCUGGCCGAACACAUGCCAAUCUGACCAACCGGCCUCGAAUCUCAAUCCUUCCCGACCACUUUCGACACGAGUUCCGUUGGUUGAAGUGGCCGGUGAGCGGCUCUUGCGCAUCCCACAAGUGAUGAAAACGAGCUGUCCCAUUUUCAACUUGAUCAGGCUUUUGCACUUGACGAGAUCGAAAUCGAAACCCUAGUCGCCAACAUCUGUGAUUCUUCUCCCUCGAAAGAAGUUCUUUAAAAUUUCAUUUGUUAUGUACCGUCGAAUUGGAAGUUAUAAAUACCGUGAAGUGAA